rnacentral:rRNA from 1 species
CGAUGAACCUUACCAGGCCUUGACAUCCCUUGCGAAGUCCUAGAGAUAGGAUGAAGGUUAUCAAGGAGACAGGUGGUGCAUGGUUGUCGUCAGCUCGUGUCGUGAGAUGUUGGGUUAAGUCCCGCAACGAGCGCAACCCUUGUGAUAUGUUACCAAUAUUAAGUUAGGGACUCAUAUCAGACUGCCGGUGAUAAACCGGAGGAAGGUGGGGAUGACGUCAAAUCAUCAUGCCCCUUAUGAGCAGGGCUACACACGUGCUACAAUGGCGUAAACAGAGGGAAGCGAAGGAGUGAUCCGGAGCAAAUCUCAAAAAUAACGUCUCAGUUCGGAUUGUAGUCUGCAACUCGACUACAUGAAGCUGGAAUCGCUAGUAAUCGCAGAUCAGAAUGCUGCGGUGAAUACGUUCCCGGGUCUUGUACACACCGA